rnacentral:rRNA from 1 species
CAUGCAGAGAACUUUCCUAGAGAUGGAUUGGUGCCUUCGGGAACUCUGACACAGGUGCUGCAUGGCUGUCGUCAGCUCGUGUCGUGAGAUGUUGGGUUAAGUCCCGUAACGAGCGCAACCCUUCGUCCUUAGUUACCAGCACGUUAUGGUGGGCACUCUAAGGAGACUGCCGGUGUUAAACCGGAGGAAGUGGGGAUGACGUCAAGUCCUCAUGGCCUUUAUGACCAGGGCUACACACGUACUACAAUGGCCGAUACAAAGGGCAGCGACACUGCGAGGUGAAGCCAAUCCCGUAAAAUCGGUCUCAGUCCGGAUUGGAGUCUGCAACUCGACUCCAUGAAGUUGGAAUCGCUAGUAAUCGUGGAUCAGCAUGCCACGGUGAAUACGUUCCCGGGCCUU